rnacentral:tRNA from 1 species
GCGAGGGUAGCCAAACCAGGUCAACGGCGCCAAAUUCAGGGCCCGGCCUCGCAGGAGUUCCUGGGUUCGAAUCCCAUCCCUCGCA